rnacentral:rRNA from 1 species
GCCCAGACUCCUACGGGAGGCAGCAGUGGGGAAUAUUGCGCAAUGGGCGAAAGCCUGACGCAGCGACGCCGCGUGAGGGAUGAAGGUCUUCGGAUCGUAAACCUCUGUCAGCAGGGAAGAACGGUCACUGUGCUAAUCGGCAGUGAAAUGACGGUACCUGACUAAGAAGCCCCGGCUAACUACGUGCCAGCAGCCGCGGUAAUACGUAGGGGGCAAGCGUUAUCCGGAUUCACUGGGCGUAAAGGGAGCGCAGGCGGCACGGCAAGUCUGGUGUGAAAGCCCGGGGCCCAACCCCGGGACUGCAUUGGAAACUGCCGGGCUGGAGUGCCGGAGGGGUAAGCGGAAUUCCUGGUGUAGCGGUGAAAUGCGCAGAUAUCAGGAAGAACACCGGUGGCGUAGGCGGCGUACUGGACGGCAACUGACGCUGAGGCUCGAAAGCGUGGGGAGCAAACAGGAUUAGAUACCCCGGUAACA